GAUGAAGAACGUAGCGAAAUGCGAUAAGUAAUGUGAAUUGCAGAAUUCAGUGAAUCAUCGAAUCUUUGAACGCACAUUGCGCCCGCCAGUAUUCUGGCGGGCAUGCCUGUUCGAGCGUCAUUACAACCCUCAGGCCCCCGGGCCUGGCGUUGGGGAUCGGCGGAGCCCCCCGUGGGCACACGCCGUCCCCCAAAUGCAGUGGCGGUCCCGCCGCAGCUUCCAUCGCGUAGUUGCUAACACCUCGCGACUGGAGAGCGGCGCGGCCACGCCGUAAAACACCCAACUCUUCUGAAGUUGACUUCGAAUCAGGUAGGAAUACCCGCUGAACUUAAGCAUAUCAAUAAACGGAGGA
rnacentral:misc_RNA from 1 species